AUUGAACGCUGGCGGCAGGCCUAACACAUGCAAGUCGAGCGGAUGAAGGGAGCUUGCUCCUGGAUUCAGCGGCGGACGGGUGAGUAAUGCCUAGGAAUCUGCCUGGUAGUGGGGGAUAACGUCCGGAAACGGGCGCUAAUACCGCAUACGUCCUGAGGGAGAAAGUGGGGGAUCUUCGGACCUCACGCUAUCAGAUGAGCCUAGGUCGGAUUAGCUAGUUGGUGGGGUAAAGGCCUACCAAGGCGACGAUCCGUAACUGGUCUGAGAGGAUGAUCAGUCACACUGGAACUGAGACACGGUCCAGACUCCUACGGGAGGCAGCAGUGGGGAAUAUUGGACAAUGGGCGAAAGCCUGAGCCAGCCAUGCCGCGUGUGUGAAGAAGGUCUUCGGAUUGUAAAGCACUGUAAGUUGGGAGGAAGGGCAGUAAGUUAAUACCGUGCUGUUUUGACGUUACCAACAGAAUAAGCACCGGCUAACUUCGUG
rnacentral:rRNA from 1 species